rnacentral:misc_RNA from 1 species
GAAUCAUUUUGACCACCUUGCAUUUCCACGGCCAGUCUGAUUCACCAUAAUUAUAGGUGAUCUCUUCUCCUGGACUUAUGUCACGUUUUGCAAACAAACACAGAUGGGGCUUCCCUAUCACUGUCAAGUACUUCAUCUUGGCAUUGGGAUUCAUAUGGUUGUCAUUUACGAGCCUUCCAAGUGACCCAUCCUCUUUUGCUGCAUCAACACUACAAAAGCAAAGAUAACACAUUAUUACAAAUUGUAAUUUGGCAAUAUAAAUUUGCCUGACUUAGAAGCCUUCCCUCAACAAUAUAGUCUGAAAACUGGCUUACUGCCAUUCCAACUGGCACGUGCAUGGUCAAUUGCAAUCACCGAUGUCUCAGCGUGCAAGAGAGCAGCAUUAGGCCAUGUCACAAUAA